UACAGGGGGGUGCAAACGUUGCUCGGAAUCAUUGGGCGUAAAGCGCACGUAGGCGGUUCGUUAUGUCGGAUGUGAAAGCCCUUGGCUUAACCGAGGAAGUGCAUCCGAAAACUGGCGAGCUAGAGUACGAAAGAGGAUCGCGGAAUUCCCGGUGUAGAGGUGAAAUUCGUAGAUAUCGGGAGGAACACCGGUGGCGAAGGCGGCGAUCUGGGUCGAUACUGACGCUGAGGUGCGAAAGCGUGGGGAGCAAACAGG
rnacentral:rRNA from 1 species